AAACCUUUGAGAACCUCUUUUCUGGACCGAGGAGACUGAAGGUUUCCCACUGCAGGCAGAACAGACUCUGUCAGAAGGACUAAAGGUGACUGCAGGUUACAAACAUGGAAAGAGGACCAGACUCUCCUGAACAUGAACCUGAGCCCAGUCUCAGCUCUGUAACAAAGAGGAAGAGAACCACUCAACAGGAAGACCGUCCUGACUUUAAAAGCAGGAAAUUGUCUCCUGAUGCAAAGAUCACUGAGGCACCAGAUGCCCUUGAACCUGAACCUGGACCCAGCUGUGUGUCUUUGAAGAGUGAUCAGUCAAUGAAUUU